GUAACGGCGAGUGAAGCGGUAACAGCUCAAAUUUGAAAUCUGGCUCCUCGGGGCCCGAAUUGUAAUUUGUAGAAGAUGCUUUGGGUCUGGGCCUGGCCUAAGUUCCUUGGAACAGGACGUCGUAGAGGGUGAGAAUCCCGUAUGCGGCUGGCGCCCGUGCCCGUGUAAAGCUCUUUCAACGAGUCGAGUUGUUUGGGAAUGCAGCUCUAAAUGGGUGGUAAAUUUCAUCUAAAGCUAAAUAUUGGCCAGAGACCGAUAGCGCACAAGUAGAGUGAUCGAAAGAUGAAAAGCACUUUGGAAAGAGAGUUAAACAGUACGUGAAAUUGUUGAAAGGGAAGCGCUGGCAACCAGACUUGGGCGCUGUUGAUCCGCUAGGGUUCUCUCUAGGGCACUCGGCAGUGCGCAGGCCAGCAUCGGUUUGGGGGGUUGGAGAAUGGCUGGUGGAAUGUGGCUGUCUUUGGGCAGUGUUAUAGCCACCGGUGGCAUGCAGCCUCCCCGGACCGAGGACCGCGCUUCGGCUAGGAUGCUGGCGUAAUGGUUGUCAGCGACCCGUCUUGAAACACGGACCAAGGAGUCUAACAUCUAUGCGAGUGUUUGGGUGUUAAACCCAUACGCGGAAUGAAAGUGAACGUAGGUGAGAACCCGCAAGGGUGCAUCAUCGACCGAUCCUGAUGUCUUCGGAUGGAUUUGAGUAAGAGCAUAGCUGUUGGGACCCGAAAGAUGGUGAACUAUGCCUGAAUAGGGUGAAGCCAGAGGAAACUCUGGUGGAGGCUCGCAGCGGUUCUGACGUGCAAAUCGAUCGUCAAAU
rnacentral:rRNA from 1 species